rnacentral:rRNA from 1 species
GAUCAUGGCUCAGGAUGAACGCUGGCGGCGUGCUUAACACAUGCAAGUCGAACGAAGCACUUAAGAUUGAUUCUUCGGAUGACGUCUUUUGUGACUUAGUGGCGGACGGGUGAGUAACGCGUGGGUAACCUGCCUCCCACAGGGGGGAUAACAGUUAGAAAUGACUGCUAAUACCGCAUAACCCGAUAGGAUCGCAUGAUCCAGACGGAAAAGAUUUAUCGGUGUGAGAUGGACCCGCGU